GGGUUGCUAGCUCAAUUGGCAGAGCGCCGGUCUCCAAAACCGGAGGUUCGAGGUUCGAUCCCUCGGCGGCCCGC
rnacentral:tRNA from 1 species